UAUGGCGACCGGCGCACGGGUGAGUAACACGUAUCCAACCUGCCUCAUACUCGGGGAUAGCCUUUCGAAAGAAAGAUUAAUACCCGAUGGCAUAGUUCUUCCGCAUGGUAGAACUAUUAAAGAAUUUCGGUCAUCGAUGGGGAUGCGUUCCAUUAGCUUGUUGGCGGGGUAACGGCCCACCAAGGCAUCGAUGGAUAGGGGUUCUGAGAGGAAGGUCCCCCACAUUGGAACUGAGACACGGUCCAAACUCCUACGGAAGGCAGCAG
rnacentral:rRNA from 1 species